UACGUAGGAGGCAAGCGUUGUCCGGAGUUACUGGGCGUAAAGCGCACGCAGGCGGUCCUAUUAGUCUGGGGUGACAGUUCCCGGCUUAACCGGAAAAGGACUCUGGAAACUGUAGGACUUGAGGGCUUCAGAGGGAUGUGGAAUUCCCGGUGUAGCGGUGAAAUGCGCAGAUAUCGGGAAGAACACCCGUGGCGAAGGCGGCUCUCUGGGACGGUACUGACGCUGAGACGCGAAAGCGUGGGGAGCGAACAGG
rnacentral:rRNA from 1 species